CCUACGGGCGGCAGCAGUGAGGAAUAUUGGUCAAUGGACGCAAGUCUGAACCAGCCAUGCCGCGUGCAGGAAGACGGCUCUAUGAGUUGUAAACUGCUUUUGUACGAGGGUAAACGAAGAUACGUGUAUCUUUCUGAAAGUAUCGUACGAAUAAGGAUCGGCUAACUCCGUGCCAGCAGCCGCGGUAAUACGGAGGAUUCAAGCGUUAUCCGGAUUUAUUGGGUUUAAAGGGUGUGUAGGGGGUUGGAUAAGUUAGAUGUGAAAUCCCGAGGCUCAACUUCGGAAUUGCUUCUGAUACUGGUAGGCUAGAGAGUAGUUGCGGUAGGCGGAAUGUGUGGUGUAGCGGUGAAAUGCUUAGAGAUCAUGAAGAACACCGAUUGCGAAGGCAGCUUACCAAGCUACUUCUGACGUUGAGGCACGAAAGUGUGGGGAGCAAACAGGAUUAGAUACCCCAGUAGUC
rnacentral:rRNA from 1 species